UACGGAGGGUGCGAGCGUUGUCCGGAAUCACUGGGCGUAAAGGGCGCGUAGGUGGCCUGUGGAAGUCUGCGGUGAAAGUCCGGCGCUCAACGCCGGAUCGGCCGUGGAUACUCUCGGGCUUGAGCUUACUAGAGGCAGAUGGAAUUCCGGGUGUAGCGGUGGAAUGCGUAGAGAUCCGGAAGAACACCGGUGGCGAAGGCGGUCUGCUGGGGUAAUGCUGACACUGAUGCGCGACAGCGUGGGGAGCGAACAGG
rnacentral:rRNA from 1 species